ACCCUUGUGGUAUGGUGGCAGUUGGCGAAAGCUCUGCAAACGCUUUUCUUUGGGCGUUGGAACACCUAAGCCGUAAGGGUUU
rnacentral:ncRNA from 1 species